rnacentral:lncRNA from 1 species
AACAAUAAGUGAUUAUUCACUAGGAUGGGGAACACUGUUGUAGCUAAAGAUAUUGAUCAGGUAUGUUCUGCUUAUUAUUAUAUUUUCAAUUUGUGCUUGGUUAUUACCUGAAGGGCCAAAAAAGUACAAUCUUUCAUUAAUUCUGAUUUGAAUUGGUGGCUUGGUUACUGAGCUGUUUAUAGUUUAAGAAAUAUAUUUUAUGCUUAAUUGCUAGAACCACAUACUUUAUUAUGCAC